rnacentral:rRNA from 1 species
GACGAACGCUGGCGGCGUGCUUAACACAUGCAAGUCGAACGGAAAGGCCCUGCUUUUGUGGGGUGCUCGAGUGGCGAACGGGUGAGUAACACGUGAGUAACCUGCCCUUGACUUUGGGAUAACUUCAGGAAACUGGGGCUAAUACCGGAUAGGAGCUCCUGCUGCAUGGUGGGGGUUGGAAAGUUUCGGCGGUUGGGGAUGGACUCGCGGCUUAUCAGCUUGUUGGUGGGGUAGUGGCUUACCAAGGCUUUGACGGGUAGCCGGCCUGAGAGGGGGACCGGCCACAUUGGGACUGAGAUACGGCCCAGACUCCUACGGGAGGCAGCAGUGGGGAAUAUUGCACAAUGGGCGGAAGCCUGAGGCAGCAACGCCGCGUGCGUGAUGACGGCCUUCGGGUUGUAAACCGCUUUCGCCUGUGACGAAGCGUGAGUGACGGUAAUGGGUAAAGAAGCACCGGCUAACUACGUG